AAUCUGCAUUUGAUUUGUAAAAUUUCUAUAUAAAGUUCAUAUCACUUUAGUAAAAGAAAUUAUAUCCAUGUCGCAUUAAAAUCCAGUGGUUUAGAAUUUAGAAUAUUUUUCGCAUGCACGAUUUUUUCGAUCUAUACAUUUACUAUAAAUUUGAUAAAGUGUGUGAAUUCUUACUUCCUUGGCAAGACACGUGACAUGUGUAUAAUUAUGUAUGUAUAUACGUGGUGGAGAGUGCAGAUAUGUGAACGUAUGGAGGUUUCCUGAACGUGGCGACAUUUUUAACCCAAAUUUUCUACACGUUACGAGAAACUGAAUGUGCAAUUGUAACGUAAACCGAUCGUAUCGAGAUUCGAACAUAGUUCGUAAAUUGUUUCUAAUAAAUAAGAAGUAAUCUAGUGUUUUGUACAAAGUUAAUAUGGCAACAUCCGAGAGCGAUGACUUUGAAAGCGCUGACGAGGAGAUGAACCAUGAUAUACCAACAAAAAGAAGUACUCAAUUGCAACAGUGGAAUUCACCAAACACGAUAGAUUCGGAAUCUGAUGACGAUACGGAAUAUGUGCCUCGACAACCGUAUACAAAUAUAAAUUUCGGUAGAAGUAAAGAAAAAUAUUGGCAGACAAUGGAUACGCCAGCUAAUGGAACAAGAGCUGAUAAAAAUAUCAGUACUAAAGAUACACGUAAUUAUAAGAAGCACGAGCAACCAAUUAUUAAUGUUGACGAAACUUGUGAAAAAAAAGAUGAAAACAUUUCAACUAUCGACUCACAGAAAGUAGAAUGUGUACGGAUCAACACUGGUGAUACAGACUUGAAAGUGGAAAAUAAUAAUGAAAACAUAGAGUUAAGAAGAAAUGAAGUAUCCCCUGAAAAAGAUGUUAAUAUGGACUUACAUUCUGAGUUGACAGUUAAGUUGAAUGAAAAAGAAAAGAUUCAAUACAAAGGAAAGAAAUUAGGUGUAAAGAAGUUAGGGACAAAGGUUAUGCCAAGUAGUAACCUUAUGACUGAUAUAGAUAACAUAGGUACACAUAUUAAUGAAAGGGAUAUACUGAUGACAGGAGAAGAUGUGCUUAGUAAAUGUUCUAUGGAUGAUGAGAUAACAGAAUCUGAUAUGCCAGAAGAAUUGAAAUCUGAUAAAACAUUCAAAGAAGUAUUUAAAUCUGAAGGUUGGGAAGGACUUGAAGAUCCAAUUGAAUUACCAGAGGAAUUGAUUGAGGAGAAAUUGCAACCAGUAUUAAAAAGAUUAUCAUUAGUUGCUGAAGAAACAAGUAGCUCAUCCACAAGUUGGGGUUGGGGUAAUUGGGGUGUAAGUUCUUUAAUUAAUACAGCUAGUGUUGGAGUUUCUACAAUAACUAGCCAUGUAUCACAAGGACUUACUCUUUUGGAAGAAUCAAUGGCUUUAUCUGAUGAACCUAAAUCUAUUGCAAAUGAAGAACAAGAAAAUCAGACAGACAAUGAUGGUAAAGAGGAACAGACCAAAGAACAAUCUUCUUUCGGGUUUGGAAAUCUUAUAUCAAGUGUAUCAUCAAUAACAAAACUGGUUGAAUCAACUGGAAGCAAAGUUGUGAGUGGUGGAUUAGAUACGUUAGAAGCCAUUGGUAAAAAGACAAUGGAAGUUUUACAAGAAGGUGAUCCAGGCUUAAAGAAAAAGAGAACCUUCUUUAUAAAUGAAACAGAUAAGCCUAAUUUAUCUCAGAUUCUACGAGAAGCUAAAGAAAAAGCAGAUAGCACAGAGAGAACAAUGGAAGAAAGACAGAAAAUGAGAAAAGUACAUUUUGAAAGUCUCUUUGAUGAUUAUCAAGGACUUGUUCAUAUAGAAGCAUUAGAAAUGCUAUCAAAACAAAGUAAUAUUAAAAUACAACAGCAUUUGAAUAGCUUAGAUACAAAUGAAUUAAAUUCUGUUGAAAAAAUGUUGGAAGAAGUUGAAGAAUUAUGUGCAUUAGAUAAUGAUGAUGAAUACAACGAUGAAACAGAUGAGAAAGACUUGAAAUAUAAAUUACAAGAAGCUUGCAGCGAUCUUGGAAUUAACAUUACAUAUGAAAAGUUACACGAGGCUUUUCAAGACUCUAAAAAUUAUACUACUUUACCACAUAACGAUCAAGAAACUUUUGAACAUGCUAUUUCAGUUUUGGCACAAUUUACAGCAUUUUCUGUAGAAAGGUUUCAUAAAACCGCAGAAUUACUUUUAAUUAAAGAACAUCGAAGCACUGUUAAUGAAACUGAUUCACUAGUUCAGUUAACAAAUAUUCUGUCUAAUCAAAUUGGAAUAUUAGCUAAUACUUACUGUAGUGUUUUAAAUAAGCUUGCAGAAACUUCAGAUAAACCUCAUACUAUUAAAACUAAUAUAACAACGAUUCUCAUGGAGGCUUCAAAUGCAAGUUCUUACAUUCAACAUGCCUUCAAAUUGUUGAUUCCCAUCAUAGAAGUUGGUGCUAUAUAACGAUGAGUAGAAAUAUUUUUUUAAUUCUUGUUCUGCAUAUAUUGUAAAAAAAGAACUAAUACAUUUCAGGAGGUUUCUGAAGUUGAAAACUCGAGUUUGAUUCACUCGUUGGUAAAGGUGUAGUAAGAUUUGGCGGAGUAUUAAAGGUCAAACUUGCUGUUGGUGGUUUCAAUGACGAACUUAGAGUAAUGUUAGUAGCAGAUGG